rnacentral:rRNA from 1 species
GGGUUGUGAGGUUAAGCGACUAAGCGUACACGGUGGAUGCCCUGGCAGUCAGAGGCGAUGAAGGGCGUGCUAAUCUGCGAUAAGCGCCGGUAAGGUGAUAUGAACCGUUAUAACCGGCGAUACCCGAAUGGGGAAACCCAGUGUGACUCGUCACACUAUCAUUAACUGAAUCCAUAGGUUAAUGAGGCGAACCGGGGGAACUGAAACAUCUAAGUACCCCGAGGAAAAGAAAUCAACCGAGAUUCCCCCAGUAGCGGCGAGCGAACGGGGAGGAGCCCAGAGCCUGAAUCAGCAUGUGUGUUAGUGGAAGCGUCUGGAAAGGCGCGCGAUACAGGGUGACAGCCCCGUACACAAAAGCGCAUGUGCUGUGAGCUCGAUGAGUAGGGCGGGACACGUGGUAUCCUGUCUGAAUAUGGGGGGACCAUCCUCCAAGGCUAAAUACUCCUGACUGACCGAUAGUGAACCAGUACCGUGAGGGAAAGGCGAAAAGAACCCCGGCGAGGGGAGUGAAAAAGAACCUGAAACCGUGUACGUACAAGCAGUGGGAGCNNGUGACUGCGUACCUUUUGUAUAAUGGGUCAGCGACUUAUAUUCUGUAGCAAGGUUAACCGAAUAGGGGAGCCGGAGGGAAACCGAGUCUUAACCGGGCGUUAAGUUGCAGGGUAUAGACCCGAAACCCGGUGAUCUAGCCAUGGGCAGGUUGAAGGUUGGGUAACACUAACUGGAGGACCGAACCGACUAAUGUUGAAAAAUUAGCGGAUGACCUGUGGCUGGGGGUGAAAGGCCAAUCAAACCGGGAGAUAGCUGGUUCUCCCCGAAAGCUAUUUAGGUAGCGCCUCGUGAAUUCAUCUCCGGGGGUAGAGCACUGUUUCGGCUAGGGGGCCAUCCCGGCUUACCAACCCGAUGCAAACUGCGAAUACCGGAGAAUGUUAUCACGGGAGACACACGGCGGGUGCUAACGUCCGUCGUGAAGAGGGAAACAACCCAGACCGCCAGCUAAGGUCCCAAAGUCAUGGUUAAGUGGGAAACGAUGUGGGAAGGCCCAGACAGCCAGGAUGUUGGCUUAGAAGCAGCCAUCAUUUAAAGAAAGCGUAAUAGCUCACUGGUCGAGUCGGCCUGCGCGGAAGAUGUAACGGGGCUAAACCAUGCACCGAAGCUGCGGCAGNNGUUGGGUAGGGGAGCGUUCUGUAAGCCUGUGAAGGUGGCCUGUGAGGGUUGCUGGAGGUAUCAGAAGUGCGAAUGCUGACAUAAGUAACGAUAAAGCGGGUGAAAAGCCCGCUCGCCGGAAGACCAAGGGUUCCUGUCCAACGUUAAUCGGGGCAGGGUGAGUCGACCCCUAAGGCGAGGCCGAAAGGCGUAGUCGAUGGGAAACGGGUUAAUAUUCCCGUACUUGGUGUUACUGCGAAGGGGGGACGGAGAAGGCUAUGUUGGCCGGGCGACGGUUGUCCCGGUUUAAGCGUGUAGGUGUGUGUUCCAGGUAAAUCCGGUUCACUUUAACACUGAGGCGUGAUGACGAGGCACUACGGUGCUGAAGCAACAAAUGCCCUGCUUCCAGGAAAAGCCUCUAAGCAUCAGGUAACAUCAAAUCGUACCCCAAACCGACACAGGUGGUCAGGUAGAGAAUACCAAGGCGCUUGAGAGAACUCGGGUGAAGGAACUAGGCAAAAUGGUGCCGUAACUUCGGGAGAAGGCACGCUGACACGUAGGUGAAGUGAUUUACUCAUGGAGCUGAAGUCAGUCGAAGAUACCAGCUGGCUGCAACUGUUUAUUAAAAACACAGCACUGUGCAAACACGAAAGUGGACGUAUACGGUGUGACGCCUGCCCGGUGCCGGAAGGUUAAUUGAUGGGGUCAGCGCAAGCGAAGCUCCUGAUCGAAGCCCCGGUAAACGGCGGCCGUAACUAUAACGGUCCUAAGGUAGCGAAAUUCCUUGUCGGGUAAGUUCCGACCUGCACGAAUGGCGUAAUGAUGGCCAGGCUGUCUCCACCCGAGACUCAGUGAAAUUGAACUCGCUGUGAAGAUGCAGUGUACCCGCGGCAAGACGGAAAGACCCCGUGAACCUUUACUAUAGCUUGACACUGAACAUUGAGCCUUGAUGUGUAGGAUAGGUGGGAGGCUUUGAAGCGUGGACGCCAGUCUGCGUGGAGCCGACCUUGAAAUACCACCCUUUAAUGUUUGAUGUUCUAACGUGGACCCGUAAUCCGGGUUGCGGACAGUGUCUGGUGGGUAGUUUGACUGGGGCGGUCUCCUCCUAAAGAGUAACGGAGGAGCACGAAGGUUGGCUAAUCCUGGUCGGACAUCAGGAGGUUAGUGCAAUGGCAUAAGCCAGCUUGACUGCGAGCGUGACGGCGCGAGCAGGUGCGAAAGCAGGUCAUAGUGAUCCGGUGGUUCUGAAUGGAAGGGCCAUCGCUCAACGGAUAAAAGGUACUCCGGGGAUAACAGGCUGAUACCGCCCAAGAGUUCAUAUCGACGGCGGUGUUUGGCACCUCGAUGUCGGCUCAUCACAUCCUGGGGCUGAAGUAGGUCCCAAGGGUAUGGCUGUUCGCCAUUUAAAGUGGUACGCGAGCUGGGUUUAGAACGUCGUGAGACAGUUCGGUCCCUAUCUGCCGUGGGCGCUGGAGAACUGAGGGGGGCUGCUCCUAGUACGAGAGGACCGGAGUGGACGCAUCACUGGUGUUCGGGUUGUCAUGCCAAUGGCACUGCCCGGUAGCUAAAUGCGGAAGAGAUAAGUGCUGAAAGCAUCUAAGCACGAAACUUGCCCCGAGAUGAGUUCUCCCUGAGACUUACCUUACA